UCACACUGUGCAAAAGGUGGUCACAGACACAACAGGAGGCAGGCCAGGAGAAAGACUCUGCAGAUGGUCAGGAGGUUCAUUGAGAGCACGAGGGUGCUUUCUGCUUUACUCCUUUGCAGCCUCUAUUGCUCCAGCCAAUAGAGAGGAAAAAUGAUGCGUAAGUACUGUACAGAGCUUCUACAAGGUCUGUCCAUGGGGAUGUAUGAAGACCCACGAGGACCCAUCUAAUGCAGGUAUGAAAGUAAGGCGGGAUAACUCCAAGAGGUUGUGAUGCAACUUACAUGCAGUGACAUCUUACUUCCUCUACAUCCAAACCCUCUAGUCGUAUAAUGAGCAAUUCAUAUCACGCUUAGUCCCAUAACAGCCCUAGAGACAAACAACAUGUGACUAUUGUAUAGAUGAAAAAUGAGAGCUCAAGGACUGGAAAGAAGGCUCAGUGGCUAAGAGCACUGACUGCUCUUCCAGAGACCUAGGUUCAACUCCCAGCACCCAUAUGGCAGCUCACAGCCAUCUAUAAUUCCAGUUCUAGAGCAACUGAUGCCUCCUUCUUGCUUCCAUGGGCACCGGGCACACAAUAGUAUGUAUGUAUGUAUGUAUGUAUGUAUGUAUGUAUGUAUGUAUAUACAUGUCUAUGUAUAUACAUAUAUAUGUGUGUGAAGUAUACAUAUCUACAUAUUUAUAUAUAGACAAAACACCCAGAUAUAUAAUUCCAUUAAAAAUUGAGAAAAUUAAAUCUCAAGAGAGACUUUGACCAAGCAAGAGGUGAAGGAUGACCUUGGGUCCCUGAUAGAUCUCACUUCAGAGCCCAAAUUCUUGGCUCCUGGGUUUUACUUACUCCCCUUGAUCCACCCACCCUGUUGGCUGGACCAGAGAUGAAGCCAGCACCCAUGAUCAGGCCUCUCUUACCUUGACCACAUGGAGUUUGGGCAGUAGAUUGCAGUCGGCCAGGGUUAGCUCAUCCCCAUCCAGGAACUUGCGCUGGGAGCCCUUCUCGUCCCCAUGGGUGUUGGUGUCAAUCUCCUCUGGCAGAGGGGUGUUCAGGUAGUCAUCCAGCUUCCUCAGCGCCUUUGUCAGGCCUCUCUCAAGGGCUGCCAUGGAAGGGCAAAAGAAGGGUCAGCUCUCUUCUUACCAAAUACAGUCCAGGAACUUCGGAGUAGACUAAGUGUGCUGAGUCACCCCUCAUCACUGCACUGCCAUUUCAACACAUACAGUUGAGCUCCUGGUGGCUGUUAGCGUGGUUUGAUACAAGGGUACAAACCCCAGGAACUGGAGAGAUGGCUCGGCGAAGUCACUGCUAUACCAACGACCAGAAUCUGUUUCCCAAAACCCAUGUUAAGCAACCAUGGCCACCUGUGACUCCAGCUGUAGGGCAUCUCACACCCUUUUGGCCUCUGUAGCCUCUUGCAUACGCACACACACACACACACACACACACACACACAGAGAGAGAGAGAGAGAGAGAGAGAGAGAGAGAGAGAGAGAGAGACUAAAAUAAAUCUGAAAAACUAGCAAAGUAGUAUGCAUUGGCUAUUCCUUUAAUUUGAUUACAUUUAAAUUUCUUUUACUUUGAUCAUGAUGUACCUUCUAGUAAAUGAAGAACUUCAGUAGGUAGGGCACAGGUCAAAAUGUUCACAGCGAUUAUCUCUAGUUUGUAGGACAUGUGGCAACUUCUGUUUUCUUAUUUUACCUAUUUUUAUUUUGUUAAUGAUUGGCAAUAGACACACAAACACACACACACACACACACACACACACACACACAUUUUGUAGAAAGGGCUAGUUUCACAAUUAAAAUGGCAAAGAAGUAGUCCUAAGAUAGAGACCAGAUUUUCCGGUAUCAUUAACUUUGACUAAUCCAGCUGGAGAAGAGACAGGGACCAGGCCUUCAGGAGCAGGACACAAAAAUGAGAACAGCCUGUUUAAGGGGACUACAGAGGUACGGUGAGUAUCUGAGAGGCACACUGGAGGUUCAUCUAGAGCAGACAGCUCAAAGCUGUCCCAAAUGGUCGGCUCAAUGCAUCAGUCAGGAGUGGCCACUAGCAAUAUGCCAUCGAGUCCACUUGCAUAGACACCUGCCACAGAUGCCACUCAAAGAAAUAACACCUAAAGGAAGAUGAAGUGGCAGAAACCCUUUAUAGUCUUUUCCUGAUUAAUUAACAAAUUAUUCAUUUAAACCCACAGGAAACAUAAAUCCUCUUAGUCACAGAGGGGUGAGAUGGAAAUACAGGGCAGUUGCAAAGUACAUGGCUGUUUGGUCAUUAGUUAUUGUAUCUGUGACAUCAGCCCUGUUCCUCAAACCCCCCAAGACUCUGGUUUACAAUAUGCUCCUGAGAUCACGGGAGUCCCAGCUGCUCCACGUGGCAGCAGAUACAAGAAGGACAAUGGUAUCCAGAGAAGCUGUGAGGCCUUCUCAUCCUUCUCAUGGGUUCCCAGAUGUGUCUUCCAUUAAUUAGCCACUCCCACAAAACCCACUUUUGUCUUUGCAUAGGAGACCUUUUGUUUGAGACAAUGGAGGGACCCCUGUCUGAGACAAUGCCGCUGAACACUUUCUGGAAUGUUUGCAAACUGGCUAGAGGUUUUCUCAAUGCUUCCUUCUCCCCGGUGUAGCAUUUGAACUCCUCUUCAUCAUCUGCUUUGUGUUUCCAGUUUGGGAGAACAGAGUGAGAAGGGCUGGGAAAAAUGCUUGAAUUCCCUUCAGUGCUUGUCUAGACUAUGAUGGGAUUACCAGACUAUUCAAGGGCUAAAGCAGAGGGUGGCUACUAGACAAUACUUAUUAUGCUUUUCUCCCCAGAGCGAUUGCAUUUCAUUCUGGGUUUGUUUGCUUACUCAAAUCCCUUUAGCUCUUUCAGUGAUAGAGUGGGGCAAAAACCCAAUCACAGUGGGAAAAGAAAAAAUAGCACAGUAUUUUAGGUUUGUUUCUGUUGUCCUGCUAAAACAUCACAAUAGAAAGCAAUACAUGAAAGGAGUUGCUGAUCAUCUUUGUAGGGAGGUCACAGAGGCAAGAGCCUCUGGUCAUACAAAAUCCACAGCCAAGAGCAGAGGGAAACAGAUAUGCCCUCUGCCUAGGGAAUGGUGCCACCCAUAAUAGACUAGAUCUCUUCAUAUCAAUAAACAUCAGUAUAAUUCUUGAUCAACCUGAUCUAAGUAAAUCCUCAGUUGAAACUCUCUUCCCAGGAAAAUCUAGAUUGUGCCAAGUUGGCAUUUAAAAGGUGACCAUUACAUGGGGUACACUUGUUAAAAUUUGAUCAUUUUGUAUUAUCCAAGGGAUAUGAAGGAGUAUGCAAAGGGAAAGAAGGUAUUUCAAGUCCUGACUUCAAAUACCUUUUUGGAGACCUUGAAGACCAAAGAAAUUUGGCAAAGAUGCUUGAGGCAGUGAUGGAGACCUUGGAAAACUAGGUCUGGAUAGAUUUCAACUGUCUGUCAGAUGAGCUCUAGAAAUGGAAGGGCUAAAGUUUAGUAACAAGUCUAACUGUGUCCUCACACCAUUACUACAAUACAAUGCACAGCUUGUACACUCUGAGCACGUUUACCAUUUGUCAGUUACUAAACCUGCAGUUCUGUCUACCCAGUCAGGUUGGAGUUGAUGUUAAUCAUGGUAGAGGCCUGAGAUGAGGAGCAGGAAAGGAGCCACAUGAACUCGAGCUACCCUAGAUUAGGAUUUUCCCUAAAAUAGACCCACUGUUAAGGUUAUAGCUUCAAGGUCCUUUAACUGAAGAGCUCUCUCCAAGGGCUUGGGCAUGAUUUUUUUUCACUGUCUUAUUUAUGCCUAUUGCAUUAGUUUUAGGCACCAUAAAUCCCCUCUGUGCCUAUGGUCCUGGUACCUCUCUGUGGCUAGCGGUGAGCUCCUCAACUUUCUUGAAUGACAGUUUCCUCCUGUCAGUAAUGAUAAUGGGGAUCUCUAGGUCACACAUGGCCCCUUGUGGGCUCACUCAACACAGGGAGUAGAAGGGGAGUUCCCAAUAUUAGGGCCUGGGCUGUAUCAGAUUGGUCAAUGGUUAUCACUGCUAUUUUAUGACCCGGUUCAACAGGUGUCCUUCUGUCUGCAUGAAUCCUCCCAUACUCUCCAGUCAGUAUAUUCUUAAAUCUUCCUGGAUGCAACAGAGAAUGGGAGGUUCUGGGUAGCCUCAGUUCUGAAGGCAAGUCUCUGAAGUAAGGCUUUCUUUCCCUCCCUUACUCCCUCCCUCACUUAUAUUUUUAAAUUGUUUGGGAGACCGUCUCAUGAAGCGUACACUGGCCUUAUAAAAUGCAUAUAACUGGCCUCAAUAACUGGUCAAACUUGGCCUUGAACUUCGGAUCCUCUUGUUUCCACCGUCCCCCCAGCACUAAGGCUGCAGGCACGUCCCACCAUGCACUCUCCUUGUAGUAUACAUAGUCAUAACUACGUCCCCUAUGCUCCCUGGCUACCUCCUUGGUGACAAGCCAUGUAGAAAGGGAUGAUCUGAGGGAAACAGACACACCACAACCAAAUGCUGAAGCACAUCCAGUCAGACAAGGCAGCAGAGGCAGUACCCUGAUGUUCUUGCUCCCUCCUCCCUGCUAGCUCAGUCCUGAAGCCACGGCAUUAAAUGAUCUCUUUUGGUUGAUGGCAUUCAGUCCAUGAAACCACUCCUAGUGAGCUUUCUACUCUGGUCGGAGGGAUAGGAGAGAGACCAGGAUGAGGAGGCAAUAAUGAACUCCUUCAGCGUGUGUGUUUGAAAUCUUGCCUCUGAAGUCCCGUGAACUUGGUGGGUACCCAGACUUUUAAUUGCUCUGGUCCCCUCUCUGCCUCUGCUCCCCAUAAAGAUUUAUUUUGUAUGACACAUAAAUGCACUCGGUAAAAUAUGCAAUGAGGAAAAGGGGGGAAAGAGUUCAUAAAUAUUCUCAGCCAUAUGAAAACAAUCUCAAUUUAUUUUUCUCUCUCUUUUUUUAAGAAGGGGAAAAAAAAUCCACCCAUUCCACAAUGGCUUCCAGAUUCAUUGAGGUUGCCAUUACAUAAGAGCCAAUAUUGUUUUCUCGUCGUAGGGAAAUAAUGAGUUAGGAAUGGCAAUUUGAGCUAAGAAAAUAAUAUAGUCUUAGCAAGGCAUGGGGCUGAAAUGAGGAAUAGGAGCCCCAAUGCUAACCCAGCUCCAACAAGUUCCUGCAAGCAUGACCCAGCCCUGGUUUGCCAGCGUCUGGGCACAGCAUGGGAACUGAUGAGUAUCAGGCCAGGAGCACCUCUGGGUUCCAAAAUCCACACAGAGAGGACAGAUGUCAACGGCGGACUUUGGGAGGAUGGAAAGCAAGUCUGGGAUCAGGAACUUCAUAGGUUCUGCUGUGUAUUUUUCUCUGUCACGUGUACUUCCCCGGGUACACGUGUGUUACAUACACUCACACAGACACAUCCAUAUAAUAAAUAGCAAAUAAAAAAGAGGCCUUAAGAAAUAAAUUAGGGAAAGGGAUGUCUCAGCGGCUAACAGCACUGGCUGCUCUUGCAGAGGACUUGGAUUCAAGUCUUGGCACCUACAUUGCAGCUAACAAAUGGCUAGAACUCCAGUUCAGGGGAUUCGAUGCCCUUCUCAGCCCUCUGCAGCCACCGUGUGAAUCCCGUGCAGACAUACAUGCUGGCAAAAUAUUCAUACGCAUAAAAUCAAAUUUCGUUUAAAAAAGGAAUCAAGGCCCACCUCUAACAGAGGCCUGCAGCAUAGAUGGAUGUGUGACCCACUAUUACGUGAGAAGGAGAUCAUGGCUGCUAGAUCUGGCUCCAAGCUGUGCCCCACCCCCCUUCAAUGUAUCCAUUGCUCCUAAGAACAGUUCUCACAGCAAGAAGAUAGCACACUCACUGUUUUCUAAGGGGAUCCAGAAUGUGGCGUCUCUGUGGCUUAAGUACACGAAGGGACAAAAAUUAGUAAUUAUUCUCACUUAACUCUUAAGGGAACUGAGUCACAGACAUAACCAAGGGACAUCUGCUCGUACUAGUAUCUACAUAGCAACUUUCUCGAAGCGUUUAAACCACUCCUGAGGUAUAUACAUGAGCAUGUGCUCUGUUUAGUUUUUGAAAAAUGCCUCCUCAUGGGAGCCCAUGCCCUGAGCAACGGGGAAAUAACAAUUUGUUAGCCUAUUCUGGAUUAUAACCUAGUCUGACGUAAUAGUCCCUCUAGAGAAUUCUCAAUCUCUUUUGCAUGGAAAGUGCUCCGUUUCUCAGGCACACUGUCUCUCCCUUGCUCUUCUCCGUGUGUCAGUGGGGCUGGGGUGAGGGAAGACACUCCUGUUACUUCAUGGCACUGGGUGGGGAUAGCAGCUAAUGCAAGUCCUGACUUCUUUCUAGUGUGACCAUGGAGAUGCUGGCUCUAAAAGUGAGUUGUUUGGGCUACCCGCCUCCCUACAUGCUGGAAGGCAUUCCAAGGGAUCCAGAAUGCGGAGUCUCUGUUGCUUAAAUACAUGAAGGGACAAAAGUUAGUAUUUAUUCUCACUUAACUCUUAAGGAAACUGAGUCCUUGAUCCUUCCAUGAGUCUCUUAGACACAUAUCUAGGCUGCUGAUUUUCCUACCUCAAUUUUCCUUCAUCCACAAAUCCUCUAAGGAGUGUGGUCCUCAGCCUUUCCCAAUGCUAUGACCUUUUAAUACAGGUCCUCAUGCUGUGGUGACCCCGACCAUAAAAUUACUUUCGUUGCUGCUUUGUGACUGCAAUUUUGCUGUUGUUAUGAAUCUUAAUAUAAAUAUCUGAUGUGCAGAUGGUCAUAGGCUACCGCUGUGAAAGCAUCAGUCCACCCCAAAGGAGUCUUGACCCACAGAUUGAGCAACACUGCUCUAAGUCUUCCUUUCGGCUGUUCUAUGCCAAGUAGUCUAUCGACUUCAUGGCUGUAAGUCUAUUUACCUAGGAGCAUGAGAUGAGGGGUUGUCUUUCCUCCGUGCUCUCUCAGGAUGGGGUUCUUGGUGGGUGAAAAAUUAAAAGGCUAGAACUUAGAAAAUCUCAAGUAGGUAGCUAUGCUGUAUCCUACAAGUUAAACACCAAAAUUCUUGCCUGGCCCGCCCCUUUGAAAUCUUAUUUAAAAUUCGAUUGAAGAGAUGUCUCUAUGGAUAUAGUGCUUGCCCUGAGUUUUGGUGGGGGGGAUAGGAGGGCAGUCAUCAAUACCCAUGUAAAACCCAGGCAUGACAGCAGGCAUGUGUAAUCCCAUCACAGCAGGGUAGAAAUGGCGGCAGGGGUGGGGAUAUCUCCUGAGACUACUGACCAGAUAGUUGAGAGCAGCAGCAAGCCCAGGUUCACAGAAAAGACUCUAUAUCUUAAAACAAUCAGUAGAAGAAAAUUUCCAAAGUUGACCUCUGUUCCCCUCACAAACACACACACACACACACACACACACACACACACACACACACACGAAGGGGGGAGCCUUCUUAAAAUAUACUAAUCUCUAGAGUUGAAAUAUGUGUAGCUUGAAUUAGAGUCAUACAUUCAGAAAUGAAUAUUACCUCCUAUAACCUUAUCCAAAAUAUAAAUACAGGUCAGGAGCAAAAGCCUGGUUCUAAACUCUGAGACAUUUGAUCUCAGGACUCAAACUUCUCCCACUCCGCAGCAGCUGUCCCACUGAGUACCUGUGUGUUCUGUCAGAGGCCACAGUCUGCCGGGGCCUUUUUAUCUCAUUGCAAAGGGAGCAUUCCUUUUUUAUCCCCUACCUUCCAACAGACGUGAGCCUACAUUUGCAAUCUGCCUUUAACGGUUGGGUUUACUUAGAAUCUUGAUGCUUAGAGUCAUGCGGAAUGGUCUAGAAGAAGUAGCCAGUCGGUACAGAACCUGGCAGAGUCCUCCACAUCCUUUCUAAACAACAGAGGCCUGGCCUGUGCCAGGGAUGGGGGCGGGGCGUCUAGCAACACUGUGUAAAGAGGAGUGAAAACUGGAGACUUGGGUUUUCUCUGUGAAGGAAGAGACAUGCAGGCACGGAGAAGUACUUGGAGAACUGGCUAAAAUGUCUACUUCUCAUCGGAGCUCAUGUGGAUACAAAAGAAAGAGGCACCAAAGUCGGAUGUGGUUUGAGGGAGACUCAAGCGGGAGUCUCUAACCAUCACAUUGUUAGGAGCAGAGCAGAAACAAUUCCACACCUUGUCGACAUCUGAGAGUCGAAAACAUUAAUAAAGUCAGGUGAUGGAGACGGAAAAGAACCCGAUAAGAAGACUUUGGCAUCCCUUUCUCUGUCACCUUUUGGAAGAAGCUUUUGUUUUUCUUGUGUCCUGCCGUUCCAUGGGAGGAGAAGUAGAAAAACUGAAUUGUUCGGCGCCAGACACUCAGGGAACUCAUAGCUGGGGUUGGGACAGUGCAGGUCCAUGAAGAACAGUGAGGUAACGAAAUGAGGAGGAGGCUGGCAGGUGUCAUGCUAGCACUGUCACACUGAGGAAGUCAGAGAUGCUGUAAGGAGAUCUUAGAUGUUCAUCUUUGUGAUUUUCAGUGUGAUUCCCUCCCUGUCCCCAGGAUUGUAAUCAUUGUACAGGUUUAGAGAGCCAGCCUUAGUCAGGUUAUCUGAGUGAGGGGUCAAAUGGGAAACAGGUAGACUGUGGGGUUCAGCUGCCCACAGCAGGUAAAGUGAGGGUGACUCUUAUCACCUCUCUGACUCACAAGGCGUGAGGUCCUCAGAGGCACUGGGGUCAGAGCUGGCACAGAAUUCUAGAAGACAGGAAAGGGCUUACUUGGAGGUGUGGUAACUUCCUUUGUUGGAUCUGGGCCUCUGGCUAUGUUCACACAUCACUGAUGUCUACAGAGGGUGGAGAACCAGGCCUGGAUCAGGGGUGUCAGAAUCAGAACCUGAGUUAGGAGUGUUAGAACCAGGUCUGGGUCAGGGGCUUCUGUCAGAGCCAGGUGACAGGCAACAGGUGACAGAUGACAGACAGGUGACAGGCCACAGGUGACAGGCUGCCUUUGGAAGACCCAUAUAACAGAUGACAACCCUGCAUGACCUGUCAGUCACCAAUAACUUGCUCUCGAAUUCUGCUGUUAGCAAUGCCUGUUUGCUGGCUGCUGUCAGAGCAACUUCCACAGGGUCCGUUGCAGAGUAGGGACCUAACAGGGGACCUAACUUACAAUCAUUUUUAUGACUAGAACUCGGGCUUAUUCAAAGACUGCGGUAGGGAGUGAACUGGAGGGUAACUCAAGGCAGAAGGUUGGGUAUGGGAAAGGAAAGUUGCGAACACUAGAACUUACUGGGCACAAGGGGGGAUCCUGGGAGAUCUUGGAAGGUGACUUGUGCUUUCAAAGUAGAACUUACAUUGUUCAGAACCAUCCCCUAAGGUCCUGCCUUAUUUUCUCCUGUCAGUUUUCAACAUUCUUGGUCUGAUCCCUUGGAAAAUUUGUGCCCAGAACCGCCAUCAGACCAAUACCACUGGGCAUGCCCAGUUGGCCUGCAAGGUGUGUGUCAACAAGUCAAACCCAGCUCUGAGAGAGCCAAGAACUCACCUGCAGAAAACAAUGCCCAGGCCUCCGUUUCCAGACAGUGGCUUAGAUACAAAUGGCAGGAAGACAAACUGAAGCAAGAUGCCAUGGCCCUUACCCCAGGUUCCCUGCUGUGCCCGGGAGGUGUCAGCAGGCUAAGGGAGAGUCUACAGUUCCUACUGCCAGGGGUGUGAAGUGUUUGCUCUGGAGGGGAAUACUUCCUUGGAUGGAGGAUAGAAUGAUCCCUUACUCCACAGGCAGGAUUCAAACCUUGUGACUUAAGUAUUUAGGAUGCUGGAUACUAUGGGUCCCCUCAAAGAGUUACAGAGUGAACAGAAUCUUCUCAGAUAUGUCCCCGAGGAAACAGGGGACUUUCCUUUAAGGAAAACAUAUUCUCUAUGAAGCCAUUCUCUGAACUUUAUAGAGGAAUCAGUUCUUUGAGGAGAAGAUCUUUUCAAUUUAGCUUCAUAGGCCAACUUAUUAUUAGCAGGCAUUUAUGAGGGCAAUGCCAAAUAGCACAUGCACUCUUUUUAUUUAAAAGGUGUAGUCUUUGGUGAUUGUUUAGCUGUGUUUAAAUCAUCGUUGUGGUGAGGAAUUCAGGGCAAUUUUAGCAUGCCGUUCAUAUGAUACAUUUCUGAAGGAUGAUAUUGAUGAUAAAGACAAGUUCCAGGUGCAGAUAUUUUUAUAAAUCUCCUCAAAGCCACAGUACAUUUGAAGAAGAAAAAAAAUGUCAUUUUUACUUCUUCAAAUUUAGGGCUCCAUACAAUCUGUACCGUGCAAGCUUCCCAUGUGUUUAUUUAUUAGUAGUGGAAGAAUGGGGGGAUGGGGAGAGAAAGAAAGAGAGAGAGGAGAGAGAGAGAGAGAGAGAGAGAGAGAGAGAGAGAGAGAGAGAGAGAGAGAGAGAGAGAGACUGGGUAUGUUCCUGAUUAGUGGCCAGUGCUAACCCCAGUCAUGGGGCGGUGGCGACCCCUUCUGGCCUGAAGCAGAGAGACUGUUUUCCUCUUCAGUAGGAACUUGUGUGUGUUUCCUAUUAGGCUGCCAAGAAACUCAUUAAUGGCUGUAAAAAUCCAUCGUGCUAAUAGAAGGAACAACAUAAAUGCUGACUGAAGCAGCUGACGCCGCCAGUGUCGUUCACGAGGCUAACUGAGUUGGGAAGAAAUCUAGGAGAUGUUUACAGCUACUUUAUAAAAGGUGACUUUUAAGUGUGAGGACACAAAUUAGGUUAACAUUGAUGUUCAAACUUAAGGGAUGAGCUGGUCAAGAAGACUCUAAUUCUAUUGGAUAUGUGUCCCUGCACCGACCUGGGUCUUGGUCACCUGUCUCUCUCACCACAAUCACUUACAUUAAGGAAUUCCAUUCCCCAUGGCUUGCGUCGUCCUCAAAUGGCCAGCCUCGUCUUUUACAUGAGAGACCUUGGCAGUCAUGGAAACUAUCAUCAUCCUGCCACUUCCCCUGUCUGUUUUGGGAACUUCUGUUCAUACUCUACCCAGUCUCUGCCAGUUGCCUGUGUUCAGUGUCCAGUGUGUACUUCCUGUUCCCUCAUGCGUGAUGAAGUCUGGGUUUGCCGUGAAGCUGGGUGUUCUGAGUAUAUUAGGCAAGCACACAUGGUAGUCAUUCAAUAAAGUCUUGCUGGCUUGUGAACUGAUCUGAUCGUAGUUUCAUAGUUUUCUAAGUGCCCUACUCUCGUUUGAAAGUUCAGCACCAUGUGGAACACACUAAGUCAGGAGCACAGACCCUGGGGCCAGCUGCUGGGUUGGUGACCCUGGAUCUGCCUGGUACAGGCGUGUUGGGCUGCUUUAAACACCUGUGCCUCUGUUUCCUCCUCUCCAAAGUGGAGAAAACAGCCUGGUGCACUUCAUUUGGGUUAGCGGGCAUUGGAACUGAGUCACUGACCAUAGGGGACAGUAUCUGGCACACACACACAGCAACAUGUGGCACUGUGUGUGACAUGGAAGGGCCCUGGUGUCAAGAAUCAAGACAAGCAUAAAAGCUAAUCAAAGAUGCAAGACAAAAUAUAAAUAAAAUAAAAUAAAACAGCACCCCUCUCUUUGGUUCUAUUGAGCAAAUGUUGUGCUUGACUCAUCUUCCUGGGAAGUCACCAUGGACAAACUUAGUCCUUUUUGACACUUAGUAAAGGAUCACAGGGAUGGGGAUUCUCAUCUGGCUCUGGCUCUCUCUCUCUCUCUCUCUCUCUCUCUCUCUCUCUCUGUGUGUGUGUGUGUGUGUGUGUGUGUGUGUGUGUGUGUGUGCAUGUAUACAGAUGUGUAUGCAGGACAGAUGUCAAUGUUGGAAGUCUUCCUCAGUCAUUUCCCACCUUACUUUUUAAAGACAGUGUCUCUCAUUGAACCCAGAGCUUAUCGAUUUGGCUAGACUAGCCAGCAAGCUCUAGGGGUCUCCCUCCUCAACAGUGAAAUGAUAUGCCUUUUAAAAAUGUGGGUGCUGGGAAUCCAAAUGUGGGUCUUCAUAUCUACUCGGCAAGCACUUUACCCACAGACCAUCUCCCACAGUCCUCAUUUUUGUCAUUUCUUUUCUUUGUUUCUUUUCUUUUUUUCCUUACUUUCGGUCUGUCUAUUUGUUUGUCUGUCCUUUCUUUCUUUCUUUCUUUCUUUCUUUCUUUCUUUCUUUUCUUCUUUUUUCUUUCUUUCUUUCUUUCUUUCUUUCUUUCUUUCUUUCUUUCUUUCCUUCCCUUUUCAAGAUAGAGUUUCCCUACAUAGCCAGACUGUCCUGGAACUUACUCUGUGGACCAGGCUGGCCUCUAACUCAGAGAUCCACCUGCCUCUGCCUCCUGAGUGCUGAGAUUAAAGGUGUGUGCCACCACCACUUGGCCUGAUCUGUUCUUUCUAAAGCUUCAGCUGCAGUCUAGCCACAGUAAGCCUUUCUCCUACUCAUCACAAGAUGGGGCAGCCUUUGGGCUUUGACAGAGACUGCCACAACAUUUCUUAGAUGCACUCAAACUGUACCCAGCCUCCCAGACCCACUUUGCUUGGAGCAAUUUUUUCUGCCUCACCUGCCCCUGUAGUUUGUGGACUGCAUCUGCUCAUGGGUGUUUUAGUUGCAAAGCUCUUACCACAGGAGAAUGUGCCUUCUGAAAUUUGACCUGAGAACACAUCAAAUUCUCUGCACGAUAUUCUACUUCUGUCUCCCAAAGUCUUGCUAACCCAAAAGAGCAUGGAAAUGAUGUAUCUUUAUGGCGUGCGUGACUGGAUCAGAGAAUUCGUUAUCAGGGGAAGAUGGGAAGACUACCUUAACUCGGAAGAGGACUGCAUGCAAGGACCCACUCUUCCCUUUGUUGCUGAUAGAAAACAGAACCCAUAUUUUGUCCCCCUGGGAUAGCAGAGUGCCCUGUCAGAAAAGAUCCAUCUCCCCAGACAGCUACCCUUUCAGGCAGCUCUGGUUAAUGAAACACAAGUAGAGAGUGAACCCCAGGCUUUUGGAGAAGACAGGGCCACUGGCAGUGCCGUAAACUCAGAUGAAGAAAAGAGUGACUAUCUUUAAGAGAUGUGGAUAAAAGACAUACACUGGGGCCUGGAGAGAUGGCUCAGUGGAUACAAGCACCAGGACCUGAGUUCAAAUCCCUAGCACUUAUGUAAAAAGAAAGAAAGAAAGAAAGGAAGGAAGGAAGGAAGGAAGGAAGGAAAGAAAAGAAAAGAAAAAGAAAACACAGCACAGGGUAAGGGUGGGUGGGGCAAAGAUGGGUAUAUUCUGGAAGUCCAGGGGUAGCUAGCCACUCUGUCUGAAGGGCUGAACUUCUGAUUCUCCAAGAGACUGUCUCAGAGUAUAACAAGGGGUAGUGAGAAGGGAAGACAUCAGAAAUGCUAACCCAGUUUUGUGUGUGUACGACAGUGCCAUACCUGCACAUUCACACACUUGUACCACAGAGCAUGCACACCAAAGGCAAACACCCACGGGCAUGCACGCGUACAUGUGCAUGCAUACACGCGUACAUGUGCAUGCAUACACAAAGCCACAGACCAGAGAUGGAGAGCCAGGAGCUCCGAGGACCUGAGUCCACGGUUUCUUUAAGCCGUCGUGUUAGCCUGGAACACGCUGUUCUUUCAACUUCUCGUUAUGUGAGAAAAGCAAACUCCUGCUAAGGCGUGCUAAUAAACAUUAUGGAGAACACCCAGGAUAGGGCAUGGUACAUAGUAACGCACUUCACAGGCCUCACUAAGCCAAACAGAAGAGACGUUUGCUUUAGCUCCUGUAGCCAGGUUUCUACUACACAAAGCAAAACAGACCCUUUAUCCGACAUCAGAGGCGUUGGACUAUUUGGUUGUUCUAUUUUUUUAUUCUAGCACUUCGUACAGCUCCCGGGAUGGAGUGGAGGGGGAGGGGAUGCGGGGCAUGUCCAUGUAUGUGUACACUUGUGAACAUCCGUGUGCACACAGGCAGAGGCCAGAAGGGGAUGUUGGGGGAUUCUACCCUACCACUUUCUGCUUUACUGCAGGCAGGCCAGCUGACUGUUGGGAGCUCUCAGAAUCCUCCUGUCUCCACUCCCCAGUGCUGCAGGUACAGCCAUACCUUGCCUUUUUACAUGGCUGGUUGAGGUUACAAACUCAGGACUGUGGAGCCAGCUCCCCACCUCCUCCUCAGUGGAACCUGAUUGAGCGCGUGCUGUGCCUCAAGCCAGGGGCUGAGGUGGCCUCUGGGGGUGAUCAUGAAUGAGACACACCCUGUUCUGCAGAGCACCGUCAAGACAAGUGUGAGUGCUUGAGAACCCUAACCCUUACUUCAGGCCUGUUCUUCAGUAUCUCCUUCGUAGCUCCCCUAGUGGGGGCGGUUGUGCUAGGCGAUGCUGGAACUGUUCCUGUUCUGUUUGUUGGAAAGAAGACCCUGGGUUUACCAAAACCAGGAAGCAGAGGACAAGGCUGGCCGCUGAAGACAGCUGAGCUGCCUGGAGAUACAGACACACAGGGAUGAAGGAGGGUUGAGAUUCAAAACCACUUUGUCUCUCUCUCUCUCAAAAUACACUGCCCUCAAAUGAAGCUGCCCUGGAAGGUCCUUCCAAGCCACUUUUCAACACGACUGGCUGAACAUAAACAUAAGAACAACAGUAAUAGGCAGGUAAGUGGACAACAGGAAGUCCAAGGGGCACCAAGAACUACAGGCAACUAAGGAAUGAUAAAAAAGAGCAAUGGUCUUGUCCAGGGGAGAUCUCACCAAGAGUAUUGUGUCAACUGGAACAUAAAUGAAUAGAAAUAUAUUUUUUUCUGUUUAAUAGGGAUCUACCUAAUACAAUUAUUUAAGGAGAUAUGUGAGGCCUUUGCUGAUUGUGUGUGUGUGUGUGUGUGUGUGUGUGUGUGUGAGAGAGAGAGAGAGAGAGAGAGAGAGAGAGAGAAACUUAUUUGUAGACUACACAAAUUUAAGAGGUCUGUCACACACAGUGAGUUAACACUAGCCACAGGUAAAAGAACAUACAAGUUUUGUGCAAAUCGCUCAUCUAACGUUCCUUUAUUCUCUAGGUGUUGAUCUGAGGCCAGACUAGGCCAGCAGAACUCUUUCUGGUCAGACAGCAGGAAAUUCCUCCACACGAAUGGCGUUGGUGGUCUGCACUCUACCCUAGCCCAGGAGCCCACACAGCAAAAUCUCACUAAUGAAUGAGCCCACCCACGCAGGACCCACCGCUCCUUCCCCCUCCUCCCACCAGAGCCAGCCCCAUUCAACACCCUCACACCACCGCCGACCACCUUCCUCACUACUACCCAAGGAUUCAUAUUGUUUCCGGAACAAACUUUGUUAAAAUUAAAAUCACAGAAGCCUCCUCAA